rnacentral:lncRNA from 1 species
GGGAAGAAGAAAGAAAUAAAAAAAUAUAUUUUAUGUUGAAAGUCCACCGUGGGAGGGAAAGGGAGAGGAAAUAAAGUUUCUUAUUUUUAUUUUUUUUACUUGUAGAAGAAAGAAGCAUUAGGCUUCAUCUUCAAUCUUUCUACUUUUUGUAAUUAUUUCUUUUUAUGAAAUCAAUUAAUUUUCUUUCAUGCAAUCCAUGUUCUAGGUUC